CGUCAGUAGACUGCUAACGUAGUGAUUCUGGGAGCUGGAGAGUGAACUUUUCUCCAGCUGAGAUGAUGUUGUUUGAUCCUUAGUGAAACCUGCAGAAGUUCUCUUGGUAUUUCUUGUGAUGGUUGAAAGUGUGCUAAGGUCCAAUGCAAAGGGUGAAGAUAUCUUGAGUAUGCCAAAACUAAAUCAGUGUCAGAUGCAGUGCGUAGAUGCAUGGUGAACAUUCUGGUUUCAGACAUGAUUCAGUCACAUGGGAUUCCACCAACUAUUGUGCGGACUAGCUAUGCCCUUGGAAUUGUGACUUUUUUCAUACCUGCAGGAUACAUACUAAAAAUGGAUAUGAACAUUACUAUGAUCCAGUGGCCAAUACUGGCUAUCUUGCCUGGAGGCUGAAGACUGUUCAACGCAACACCAACGAUGGUUUUCACAGAAGUUCCAGGCCUAAUUUUAAGGAUAGCCCAACAGCUCAAAGAGAAUCUCUGUUAACUGGUGAACAGCUCUUUGGUGAGGAGUGCAGAGAGGCACUGUCUGUCAUCAGACACUCAGCAGAUAAUUGUGUCAUUAAAGAGGAAAUGAGAGCAACAUUUGAGUACAGACAGAAGGUGGUUCAUGACGAGGAUGCAGCAUCUUCGGUCUUGCAUGUAUUCCCUUAUUUCCUUGACAUUCCUGGACUGUUGAGGACAUUCUGAUUUUAAAUAGUAUGUCAAGAGUUUGAAUCGAGGCAACUGGAUUCAUGGUUUUUUUUCUGAAGACGCUUCGCCACUCCUCCGAGAGGCUUCCUCUGUUCUCCUCAGCAGAACUGAGGAAUUAUCUUCAGAAAAAAAUCCAUGAAUCCAGUUGCCUCGAUUUAAACUCUUGGACAUAACAUGACCUGGAUGAAUGACUGCAUCCAUAGACAUUUUUUGUAGUAGUUCAAAUAUUUGAUGUUUCUCUCCAAGUUAAAGUAAUUAACCUGUACAUGGGCAUUGUGUCUCUGCUUAAAGAUUGAACAGGAUUUUUCCCUCAUGUUUGGCAAUGAAGUAUCUGGAAGGUUUCUUGCAAAGUGGUCUUCAUAUUUCAAGAGCAAAGUCAUCACAGAAUGCCAGAAUCUUCCUUCAAAUCUUUAUGUUGAGGAGCUGCUGACAGCCGUUGACCCUGUGACUGAGAAUAAAUCUGGUAAGUGUGGUUUGUUUUGGUUUGUUUUCUCUUCAGUUGC